rnacentral:rRNA from 1 species
AGAGUUUGAUCCUGGCUCAGGACGAACGCUGGCGGCGCGCCUAACACAUGCAAGUCGAACAGAGCUUAGAGAGCUUGCUUUUAAGCUUAGUGGCGAACGGGUGAGUAACGCGUGAGUAACCUGACCUAGAGUGGGGGACAACAGUUGGAAACGACUGCUAAUACCGCAUAAGCCCACGGUACCGCAUGGUACUGAGGGAAAAGGAUUUAUUCGCUUUAGGAUGGACUCGCGUCCAAUUAGCUAGUUGGUGAGGUAACGGCCCACCAAGGCGACGAUUGGUAGCCGGACUGAGAGGUUGAACGGCCACAUUGGGACUGAGCAAACGGCCCAGACUCCUACGGGAGGCA